rnacentral:rRNA from 1 species
AUUGAACGCUGGCGGCAGGCCUAACACAUGCAAGUCGAACGAGUGGCGCACGGGUGAGUAAUGUCUGGGAAACUCCCUGAUGGAGGGGGAUAACUACUGGAAACGGUAGCUAAUACCGCAUACCAUCAGCUUUGCCCAGAUGGGAUUAGCUUGUGGGUGGGGUAACGGCUCACCAAGGCGACGAUCCCUAGCUGGUCUGAGAGGAUGACCAGCCACACUGGAACUGAGACACGGUCCAGACGCCUACGGGAGGCAGCAGUAGGGAAUAUUGCACAAUGGGCGCAAGCCUGAUGCAGCAAUGCCGCGUGUAUGAAGAAGGCCUUCGGGUUGUAAAGUACUUUCAGCAGGGAGGCGUUACCCACAGAAGAAGCACCGGCUAACUCCGUGCCAGCAGCCGCGGUAAUUC